rnacentral:rRNA from 1 species
UACGUAGGGGGCAAGCGUUGUCCGGAAUUAUUGGGCGUAAAGCGCGCGCAGGCGGUUGAUUAAGUCUGGUGUAUAAACCAAGGGCUCAACCUUUGGACGCAUUGGAAACUGGUCAACUGGAGUGUAGGAGAGGAAAGUGGAAUUCCACGUGUAGCGGUGAAAUGCGUAGAGAUGUGGAGGAACACCAGUGGCGAAGGCGACUUUCUGGCCUAUAACUGACGCUGAGGCGCGAAAGCGUGGGGAGCAAACAGG